rnacentral:rRNA from 1 species
AUUGAACGCUGGCGGCAGGCUUAACACAUGCAAGUCGAACGAGUGGCGGACGGGUGAGUAAUGUUUGGGAAUCUGCCUUAUGGAGGGGGAUAACUACUGGAAACUGUAGCUAAUACCGCAUACCAUAGGAUGUGCCCAAGUGGGAUUAGGUAGUUGGUGGGGUAAAGGCUCACCAAGCCGACGAUCCCUAGCUGGUCUGAGAGGAUGACCAGCCACACUGGGACUGAGACACGGCCCAGACUCCUACGGGAGGCAGCAGUGGGGAAUAUUGCGCAAUGGGGGCAACCCUGACGCAGCCAUGCCGCGUGAAUGAAGAAGGCCUUCGGGUUGUAAAGUUCUUUCGGUAGCGAGGCGUUAACCACAGAAGAAGCACCGGCUAACUCCGUGCCAGCAGCCGCGGUAAUAC